GACGAACGCUGGCGGCGUGCCUAAUACAUGCAAGUAGAACGCACAGUUUAUACCGUAGCUUGCUACACCAUAGACUGUGAGUUGCGAACGGGUGAGUAACGCGUAGAUAACCUGCCUGGUAGCGGGGGAUAACUAUUGGAAACGAUAGCUAAUACCGCAUAAUAUUGAUUAUUGCAUGAUAAUUAAUUGAAAGGUGCAAUUGCACCACUACCAGAUGGACCUGCGUUGUAUUAGCUAGUAGGUGAGGUAACGGCUCACCUAGGCGACGAUACAUAGCCGACCUGAGAGGGUGAUCGGCCACACUGGGACUGAGACACGGCCCAGACUCCUACGGGAGGCAGCAGUAGGGAAUCUUCGGCAAUGGACGAAAGUCUGACCGAGCAACGCCGCGUGAGUGAAGAAGGUUUUCGGAUCGGAAAGCUCUGUUGUAAGAGAAGAACGGGUGUGAGAGUGGAAAGUUCACACUGUGACGGUAUCUUACCAGAAAGGGACGGCUAACUACGUG
rnacentral:rRNA from 1 species